GAGAGAGAGAGAGAAAGAGAGAUCUCACCGUAUGCAUGAGUGAGCGAGCCGUGCUGACCCUGACUCGUAGGCGUAGUGGACGCUGGAUGACGGUGCAUUCCCAUGGUAGGGAUGGCUGGAGUAGAUUGGAUUGUGAUCCUUUUCCUUGGCAUUUUCUGUUGAAUUAAAGCUGACCAAGUUGUGUUUUUGGGUACGGAUUGUGAUCCAAGAAGAAGAAGAAGAAGAAGAAGAAGAAGAAGAAGAAGAAGAAGAAGAAGAAGAGAAGAGGUAGGGUGGUAACUAGUAAGAGCUGCAUCCACCCUUGCUUACCUUCAACAUACUAUGGGAAUGGGAUUCACACAAGAGUUUAAGCAACAGUCCAGCUGUGUUUUUGUCCAAGCCAUGUAAAAUCUGACCAAGUCCUGCCCAGCGCGCCUACUUUCAAUCGGUAUAUAUGCGCAUGUAAACAACAUAGACAACUAGGUCAUUCGAUGCAAAUCAAGUUAAGACGUGCUUCUUCUGUCCAACAUGGGGAUGGAGACCUUGCCAGAGAGACUGCUGAGGACGGAGCUUCCAACCGGACAAGGAAAUGCCUGCUCUGCUCCAUUGACUUCCCAGAUGCAUAAUUGGUGGUGACUUGCAGGCUAGCGUAUAUCCUGGCCUAUGGCAAGUGCUCAGUUUACAGAUGGCUGGAUCUGCUCCUCGAUCUAGCAGGAUGGACAUAGCUACCUACUUGAUUCAAAUUAUUGAUUUGCUUCCUCUGCUGGAGCCUGGGGUUGAAUUUGGGAUUCUGCAUCUGGUCGGCCCUCAAUCACAGGCCAGGGAUGGCCAUGGUUUUUCUGCUUCAGAGUUGAGCUGGAUGCCCGCCCAGUGCGUGCACGAGUCUCCUGAACACAAUGAGCAUGCCGUGGUCUGUCGUCUGUUCCAGCAGCAACGUUCAUACAUUGUUGUCCACUACUCCAGUGCAGCAGCAGCCCGAAAAUA